UACGGAGGAUGCGAGCGUUAUCCGGAUUUAUUGGGUUUAAAGGGUGCGUAGGCGGAUUUUUAAGUCAGCGGUAAAAUGUCCGGGCUCAACCCGAGCCGGCCGUUGAAACUGGGGAUCUUGAGUGGGCGAGAAGUAUGCGGAAUGCGUGGUGUAGCGGUGAAAUGCAUAGAUAUCACGCAGAACUCCGAUUGCGAAGGCAGCAUACCGGCGCCCGACUGACGCUGAGGCACGAAAGCGUGGGGAUCGAACAGG
rnacentral:rRNA from 1 species